GACGAACGCUGGCGGCGUGCUUAACACAUGCAAGUCGAACGGAAAGGCCCUGCUUUUGUGGGGUGCUCGAGUGGCGAACGGGUGAGUAACACGUGUGUAACCUGCCCUUGACUUUGGGAUAACUUCAGGAAACUGGGGCUAAUACCGGAUAGGAGCUCCUGCUGCAUGGUGGGGGUUGGAAAGUUUCGGCGGUUGGGGAUGGACUCGCGGCUUAUCAGCUUGUUGGUGGGGUAGUGGCUUACCAAGGCUUUGACGGGUAGCCGGCCUGAGAGGGUGACCGGCCAAAUUGGGACUGAGAUACGGCCCAGACUCCUACGGGAGGCAGCAGUGGGGAAUAUUGCACAAUGGGCGGAAGCCUGAUGCAGCAACGCCGCGUGCGGGAUGACGGCCUUCGGGUUGUAAACCGCUUUCGCCUGUGACGAAGCGUGAGUGACGGUAAUGGGUAAAGAGGCACCGGCUAACUACGUG
rnacentral:rRNA from 1 species